CCGCGGUAAUACGGAGGGUGCGAGCGUUGCUCGACAUCACUGGGCGUAAAGCGUACGCAGGCUGUCGUACAAGUCGGGUGUGAAAGCCCGGGGCUCAACCCCGGAACUGCGCCCGAGACUGUAUGACUUGAAUGCGGGAGAGGGAAGCGGAAUUCCUGGUGUAGAGGUGAAAUUCGUAGAUAUCAGGAGGAACACCAGUGGCGAAAGCGGCUUCCUGGCCCGACAUUGACGCUCAGGUACGAAAGCGCGGGGAGCAAACAGG
rnacentral:rRNA from 1 species